rnacentral:tRNA from 1 species
CAGGGAGACAAUAACUGAUCGUGAUGUCUGGCUAAAUCAUUGCUAGGCCAUGAUCCUGUCAUCUCGAUGGUUAAUCGGUAUCUCAACCGACAGAAGCGAAGCCAAAAGUAACUCCAGCAAUGGAGAAGCGGAUGAGUUGUCGUGAAUGUCUUUUCAGUUCCUAAACUUUGUCUAGGUCACCCCACAAGGGUAUCCCUGGGCCAUUAGCUCAGGUGGUUAGAGCGCACCCCUGAUAAGGGUGAGGUCCCUGGUUCAAGUCCAGGAUGGCCCAUUCGUAUUUGGGGGUUUAGCUCAGUUGGUAGAGCGCCUGCUUUGCAAGCAGGAUGUCAGCGGUUCGAGUCCGCUAACCUCCACUGACCAACCCACCCGGAUCGCGAAAGCAACGGGAGAGAGCUUGUGGUGGUGAUUAAAGACACUUGUACUGAGAGAGGACUCUAGCUUCCUUUCAUCUCAUGGGCCGCCCAAAUCUUUAGAACAGAUUGAAACGGUAGCCGUGAUUGAAAAGACGCUGGACUCUAGCAUGGUCAACCAAAAGGUUAAUCUUUGCUGUGUUCAGUAGAACCUUGACAACUGCAUAGGUAAGUCUGUAAAUAAAGCAUCUCAUGGAUGCUUCAACAGCAGCAAUUAUUUUCAGGGGCUUUGGUCACUGGGAUAAAGGCUUGAUGUUGGAGCGAUUCUAGAGUAGGAGCCGAGACUCCGCAUUGCUCCUGGUUCUUGCCGAAAGAAUCGGGUCUGAUCUUGUUUUCAUAAACAGUAAGUGAUGGAAUGGAAAAAUCC